CCCUAGAUGUUCUGGGCCGCACGCGUGCUACACUGAGUGGAUCAGCGGGUCAGGUUGCGCGAAAGCGUUUCCUAAUCUUUAAAUCCGCUCGUGAUGGGGAUUGACGGUUGCAAUUUUCUGUCAUGAACGAGGAAUACCUUGUAAGCGCGGGUCAUCAUCCCGCGCUGAAUACGUCCCUGCCCUUUGUACACACCGCCCGUCGCUCCUACCGAUUGAACGGUUUAGUGAGGGCCUCGGAUUGGUCUCGGCCCGCUCUUUACCGGGCGGCGCCGUUGGUCGAGAAGACGCUCGAACUUGAUCGAUUAGAGGAAGUAAAAGUCGUAACA
rnacentral:rRNA from 1 species